UACGUAGGUGGCAAGCGUUGUCCGGAUUUAUUGGGUUUAAAGGGUGCGUAGGCGGCUUGGUAAGUCAGGAGUGAAAGUUUGCGGCUCAACCGUAAAAUUGCUUUUGAUACUGCCAGGCUAGAAUCAGGAUGAGGUCAGCGGAAUGUGGCAUGUAGCGGUGAAAUGCAUAGAUAUGCCAUAGAACACCUAUUGCGAAGGCAGCUGGCUAGACCUGUAUUGACGCUGAGGCACGAAAGCGUGGGGAGCGAACAGG
rnacentral:rRNA from 1 species